CAAUACUUAUGGUUUUGUAAUAUUAUAUUAAGACUGAAUCUUGCAAUGCCUUGUGAUACCCAGGGAUACAGUGCUGUCUCCUAGUUACUUCAGUUCCAGCAGGUAGAGCCCAGAGCUGUAGGUUUCUAACAGAACAAGUGCUUCAAUGGAGUCAAAAUCUACCUCACACUAUGUUGGUUACACUCACACUAGAUUGACGUCAGCAACUGUUGUGCCAAAAAAAAAAAAAUCUAUCUUGGCUUUUGGAGUGCUAGUUUGCCCUUUUGGGACUCUGGCAGAUCUCUUGGAUGCCAAUCUUUAGAUGCCUCCUCAGCUCCGAACGCAGUAUGUGAUAUUUCAGGUCAACCUUUUUCUUGUUU
rnacentral:lncRNA from 1 species